rnacentral:sRNA from 1 species
AAAUUUUAAACAGAUUAAUUAUAGCUUGCCACGUAGCAGGCUCCUCAAGUUAAAAAAAAAGCUCUUCUCUCCAUAUUAAUGUAUUUUCAUUUAUUUUUAUUACAAUUAAAUUAGAGAACCCGUGAUUUUUGAGCAGAGAACCUCCUAUUGGAAGUGCUCUAAGUUCGUCGUAGACAAAGUUAAUCACCGUCCUGGUAUUAACCACACGACCUCAAAUAGACAUAGAUUU